rnacentral:lncRNA from 1 species
UUCUUUUAUUUACUCCAAUAUCACUAUAACAAAAACGGUUUAUAGCGACACUUUUAAAUAUCGGUACAUGUUAAAAAAAGUGCUGCUGGCUAAAUUACCGACACUUUUAAAAAGUGUUGCUAUAUGUGGGAUCGCUAGGUAUAUAGUGACAGUUAAAGAGUAUCGCUAUAACCUAAAAAGAGUGCUGCUAAUUUAUCAAUAUUUAUUUAAGCAUUUAGCAACCGCCGGAACUCUAUCUCGUUGGCUGCGGUGGCGAAGGAGGACGAGAGGAAGGGAUCUUCACCUAGAAUUUCAGUCGAUUGAUUGAGGGGAGAAUAAAAAAUGCUAAUCGAUUUUUCUUUUCUUUUUCAUUUAUGUUUGUAAUCGGGUCGAAUGGGUUGGGUUCGGUGAGUUAAGUAGAGUAACCUUUUAUUUUUGGUUGGAUUAGACUUUAUAUUUAUGCAUUAAUAAAUUUUUUUUAAAGUUUUGGCAUAAAUGAAACACUUACACAAAAGUGUUCCAAACAUGUGUCCCUAUAACCUAAUUCUGUUGUAGUGUAUUUCAAAUAGAUUUUUUUUUUUCUUUUUGUCAGAGUCAGAUUAUAUAUCACGCUCUAUACAUUUGUUAUGAAUUAUGAUAUAUAGGAUAAAAGGAUUAUAUAUGUACCUCUGAAAACUUCUGAAAUAUCGUAUAUAUUUUUAUUUUUUUGUUUUAAAUAUAUCUUUAGUAUAUUUCUCUAUUAUUCAAAAAUAACCCUACUUUUAAUACCCGUUAAGUCAUUUCGAGUUAAACCCGAAUUUUUUUCACCAUAGUUAAAAAAUAAUAAAAAUACUAUUUUACCCCUUCCUUAAGUACUGUAAACAAAAAAUGUUGUUAAUGGUAGAAAGGUAUAUUUGGAAAGAUAAAAAGUCAAAAUAUUCUUUUUUCCUAACUUAAAGGUAAAUAGGAAAAAUUAGUGACGAUAGUAGGAUAUAUUUAAAAGGACAAAUAGUAAUUGUGCAAAGAUAACAAUUGUUUCUAUACAUUCACUAACAUAAUUUAACUUUAUAGAGGUACAUUUUAAAUAACUUGAAACGUUAAAAAAAUAUUUUUAAUGUUAACCUUCUAAGAGAAGUAAAUAAAAAAUCAAAAAUUUUUCAAGGGUAUAUAAGCAAUUCCCCCUUUUUCAAAAGGCACCUUUUAAGCUAUUAAUCCCCUCUCCCAAACAAAAACUUUUACUUAC